CUAAUAAUUCUCUAGUGGCGCACGGGUGAGUAACACGUAAGUAACCUGCCCCCGAGAGCGGGAUAGCCCUGGGAAACUGGGAUUAAUACCGCAUAGUAUCGAAAGAUUAAAGCAGCAAUGCGCUUGGGGAUGGGCUCGCGGCCUAUUAGUUAGUUGGUGAGGUAACGGCUCACCAAGGCGAUGACGGGUAGCCGGUCUGAGAGGAUGUCCGGCCACACUGGAACUGAGACACGGUCCAGACACCUACGGGAGGCAGCAG
rnacentral:rRNA from 1 species